UACGUAGGGUGCAAGCGUUGUCCGGAAUUAUUGGGCGUAAAGAGCUCGUAGGCGGUGUGUCACGUCGGCCGUGAAACCUGCAGCUUAACUGUGGCGUGCGGUCGAUACGGGCAAACUGGAGUGUUGCAGGGGAGACUGGAAUUCCUGGUGUAGCGGUGAAAUGCGCAGAUAUCAGGAGGAACACCGGUGGCGAAGGCGGGUCUCUGGGCAACAACUGACGCUGAGGACGAAAGCGUGGGAGCGAACAGGAU
rnacentral:rRNA from 1 species